AGAACGAACGCUGGCGGCAUGCCUUAUACAUGCAAGUCGAACGAGAAAGUCACUUCGGUGGCGAGUAGAGUGGCGCACGGGUGAGUAACGCGUAGAUGAUCUACCCUUCAGUCUGGGACAACUCUUGGAAACGGGAGCUAAUACCGGAUAAAACCUUCGGGUUGAAAGAUUUAUUGCUGGAGGAUGAGUCUGCGUACCAUUAGCUUGUUGGUGGGGUAACGGCCUACCAAGGCGACGAUGGUUAGCGGGUCUGAGAGGAUGAUCCGCCACACUGGAACUGAGACACGGUCCAGACUCCUACGGGAGGCAGCAGUAGGGAAUAUUGCGCAAUGGGGGCAACCCUGACGCAGCAAUGCCGCGUGAGUGAAGAAGGCCUUCGGGUCGUAAAGCUCUUUUAUGGGGGAAGAUGAUGACGGUACCCCAUGAAUAAGCACCGGCUAACUACGUGCCAGCAGCCGCGGUAAUACGUAGGGUGCGAGCGUUGUUCGGAAUUACUGGGCGUAAAGGGCGUGCAGGCGGAUUGGCAAGCCGGAGGUGAAAGCCCGGGGCUCAACCCCGGAGGGUCUUUCGGAACUGCCAGUCUUGAGAGGGUCAGGGGCCAGCGGAAUUCCUGGUGUAGAGGUGAAAUUCGUAGAUAUCAGGAGGAACACCGGCGGCGAAAGCGGCUGGCUGGGGCCACUCUGACGCUGAGGCGCGAAAGCGUGGGGAGCAAACAGGAUUAGAUACCCUGGUAGUCCACGCCGUAAACGAUGGGCACUAAGCGUCCGACGGGUUCGACCCUGUUGGGUGCUGCAGUUAACGCGUUAAGUGCCCCGCCUGGGGAGUACGGUCGCAAGACUAAAACUCAAA
rnacentral:rRNA from 1 species